UGACCAAGUGGCUGAGAUAAGUUUAUUUGAAUCUUAUCACAGCCUGCUUGGAUCAGU
rnacentral:pre_miRNA from 1 species